rnacentral:rRNA from 1 species
CGGCCUACGGGGCGCAGCAGUGGGGGAUAUUGCACAAUGGGGGGAACCCUGAUGCAGCGACGCCGCGUGGGUGAAGAAGCGUUUCGGCGCGUAAAGCCCUGUCAGCAGGGAAGAAGAUGACGGUACCUGACCAAGAAGCCCCGGCUAACUACGUGCCAGCAGCCGCGGUAAUACGUAGGGGGCAAGCGUUAUCCGGAUUUACUGGGUGUAAAGGGGGCGCAGACGGCGAUGCAAGCCAGGAGUGAAAGCCCGGGGCCCAACCCCGGGACUGCUCUUGGAACUGCGUGGCUGGAGUGCAGGAGGGG